CCUGGCAGAAGUGAACUGUGCUUUGCAUCUGCACCUCCCGUGCCUUUCGAUUCCAUUGCAAUUAUCUGUAACUGCAUUUGCUGCCUCCUAGAAUGACAACUUCAUACUGAGGUCUCUGGAUCUUAUCAGACUUUGGUUUCUGAAUCAAACACAGAGACUCCUGGAUGAAGCUCUAAUAUGGAUCUAGGCAAUGUUGUAUCACACCUUUUAUCCCAUGUCUUUCUGUGGAAACUUCUUACACAGCUGCACAAUCUCCAAAUAGAUCUGGAUGUGGAGUGGUGCAGUGAUACAAAUGGAAGUCAUCUCACAGCUUAUUGCAAGUCCCUGAGGCAGCAGAUCAGAUGGAAACUCCUGGGCAAUCUCAGACUGACGUUCAGUGCUCCUGACAGAGAUGGCUCUGGGCUGCAGAUGUUCACGGGGCCAUAUGGCAUCUGCACGUUGUCUUCGAGAAUUAUUACGAAAUAGACUGUUUUGGAGGGGAAAGAUAACCUGAUCAUAAAUAUUAAUCCCUGCAGCUGUAGUUUGAAUGACUGUAAAAGUGUCAUAAUGGAA